rnacentral:lncRNA from 1 species
CAAAACCUAACUUUCGAGUAUAAUGCGGUGAGAGAAGAUAAGAUAUUUUUUCUCAUCUAUGCUUCCUACUAUUGUAACGAUCGUUUUAGUUGGAAGCGCUACGUGUUGACGGAAAGCAAAGAAUGAUGGUCUGUUGAGAAAGCAUCAUUUUCCUGGUCACCAACUUUUCCUUUUCAUAGAGACAGAGAGAGUGAUCAAUUCUCAAUCCUCCCAGCCCACCUACUGCUCUAAACUUUCAACUACCAGUCGCCGCUCCCUUAAACCCUCUCCCCCCCUCUCUCUCUCUCUCUCU